GAUCAUGGCUCAGGGAUUGAACGCUAGCGGCAGGCCUAAUACAUGCAAGUCAAGGGGCCCAGCAAUGGGCACCGGCGACGGGUGCGUAACGCGUACACAACAUACCUUAAGUGGGGGAUAGCAUUGGGAAACUGAUGGUAAUACCCCAUAAUAAUUCAGGGAGGCAUUUCCUUUGGGAUUUUAAAAGCUCCGGCGCUUAGAGAUUGGUGUGCGUCCGAUUAGCUAGUUGGUGGGGUAACGGCUCACCAAGGCGACGAUCGGUAGGGGGUGUGAGAGCAUGACCCCCCACACGGGUACUGAGACACGGACCCGACUCCUACGGGAGGCAGCAGUAAGGAAUAUUGGACAAUGGAGGGAACUCUGAUCCAGCCAUGCCGCGUGAAGGAUGAAGGCGCUCAGCGUUGUAAACUUCUUUUGGAUGGGAACAAUAACUUCUACGUGUAGGAGCUUGAGGGUACCAUCAGAAUAAGCACCGGCUAACUCCGUG
rnacentral:rRNA from 1 species